GAUAAAUACGCACUGCUCGGUCACGGGUAUUCUUGGGUUAAUAAUAUACUAUUUCUAUAUUAUUGCUUGAGAAUACACGUGACUGAGUGUGUGUGAGACUCG
rnacentral:pre_miRNA from 16 species